AGGUCAAGCAAUAAGGGCACAGGGCGGAUGCCUUGGCACUAAGAGCCGAUGAAAGACGUGAUAAGCUGCGAUAAGCUUCGGGGAGGAGCAAAUAUCCCGUGAUCCGGAGAUGUCUGAAUGGGGAAACCCACAUGAGCAAACCUCAUGUAUCCUACAGCCAAUACAUAACUGUAGGAAGGGAACCCGGGGAACUGAAACAUCUAAGUACCCGGAGGAAAAGAAAGAAAACUCGAUUCCGUAAGUAGCGGCGAGCGAACGCGGAGGAGCCUAAACCAGAGUGCGUGCAUUCUGGGGUUACGGACUGCAUUUAAGAUUCUCAGAGGCUAACAGAACGGUUUUGGGAAAGCCGGCCAGAGAGGGUGAAAGCCCCGUACGUGAAAGCCGAUGAGACUGAGCAGGAUCCAGAGUACCACGAGACACGUGGAACCUUGUGGGAAAUCAGGGGGACCACCCCCUAAGGCUAAAUACUACUUAGUGACCGAUAGCGCAUAGUACUGUGAAGGAAAGGUGAAAAGGACCCCGGGAGGGGAGUGAAAGAGAACCUGAAACCCUGUGUCUACAAGCUGUGGAAGCACUUUAUAGGUGCGACCGCGUACUUUUUGUAGAACGGUCCGGCGAGUUACGCUUACUGGCAAGGUUAAGCACUUCAGGUGUGGAGCCGUAGGGAAACCAAGUCUUAAUAGGGCCAGAGUCAGUAGGAGUAGACCCGAAACCGGGUGAUCUAUCCAUGUCCAGGUUGAAGCUGCCGUAAGAGGUAGUGGAGGACCGAACCCACAUCCGUUGAAAAGGGUGGGGAUGAGGUGUGGAUAGGGGAGAAAUUCCAAUCGAACCCGGAGAUAGCUGGUUCUCCUCGAAAUAGCUUUAGGGCUAGCCUCGAUACAGAUUUGCGGAGGUAGAGCACUGAAUUUCCUAGGGGGCGUCAAAGCCUACCGAAGAAUAUCAAACUCCGAAUGCCGCGUAAUCGAUUAUCGGGAGUCAGACUGCACGAGAUAAGUUGGGCGGUCAAAAGGGAAAGAGCCCAGACCUUCAGUUAAGGUCCCCAAGUGCGCGUUAAGUGGAAAAGGAUGUGGGAUUUCGAAGACAACCAGGAUGUUGGCUCAGAAGCAGCCAUCCAUUCAAAGAGUGCGUAAUAGCUCACUGGUCGAGAGGUCCUGCGCCGAAAAUGUCCGGGGCUGAAACGCGCCACCGAAACUAAGGAACCGAAAGGUUGGUAGAGGAGCAUUGCAUGCGGGAAGAAGCAGUACCGGAAGGAGCUGUGGACUGCAUGGAAGAGAGAAUGCCGGAAUGAGUAGCGAGAAUAAGGUGAGAAUCCUUAUGGCCGAAUAUCCAAGGUUUCCAGAGUAAAGCUGAUCUGCUCUGGGUAAGUCGGGGCCUAAGGCGAGGACGAGAGUCGUAGCCGAUGGACAACAGGUGGAGAUUCCUGUACUGCGGUAUGACAGAACUGUGGGGACACGUAAGGAAAGCGGAAGCCGGGAAUGGA
rnacentral:rRNA from 1 species